CCCGGGGUUACUUGCGCCCUCUAUACGUGAAAGACUGUACCGCCCGUUCUGGGAAUCGCACAGGGGUGCGUACAAAUGGGCCAGGACGCGGAGAUCACAGAAACAACGGUGCUGGGACUCUGUGCACAGAAGUCAGAUGCCAGAUGGGAAUUAAACAUUCGGCUGAGAAAAGCAAUCUAGUUCCCUAGGCUCAACUUUGACUCACUCCUUGGUCUGCACCAAUCCUCACAUCCCUCAGGUCCUCUAACUUUCUGUAUCCAGAAAUCGACUCUUUGGUCUCUACGGCUCCAGAAGGCUCGCUCUUCAAGAAACGUUACACUACCUUCGGUUAGAAGUGGAUACAUAUAUGAUUUUGGCCUAAAGAAAUCUUUGCAAAAAGGGAGAAUGCAAACUUGUUCUUUUCCUUUUGGAUUUACGGAGUGCCAGUAUCAGAGUCUAUUGAGGAGUCUCUGAAAUGACAGCUGAUGGGUGUAGAGACCCACGCCCGGAAUCUCAGCAACUGAAGUGGUUGAAGCAGGAGCAUCUAGGCAGAGCUCGAACCAGGAAGCUGAGCGCCACCAUAGGUGUUGCUAACCAAGCAUAGCAACAUAAUAAAAAUGGAGUGAUUAAAUGUA
ensembl:lincRNA uncharacterized LOC110308720